rnacentral:rRNA from 1 species
UACGUAGGCAGCAAGCGUUGUUCGGAAUUACUGGGCGUAAAGGGCGCGUAGGCGGCCAUGCGUGUCUUCCGUGAAAUCCCUCGGCUUAACUGAGGACGUGCGGAAGAAACUGCAAGGCUCGAGUCCGGGAGAGGGGGGUGGAAUUCCCAGUGUAGCGGUGAAAUGCGUAGAUAUCUGGAGGAACACCGGUGGCGAAGGCGGCAUCCUGGACCAACACUGACGCUGAGUGAGCGAAAGCCAGGGGAGCAAACGGG